rnacentral:rRNA from 1 species
UACGUAGGGGGCAAGCGUUGUCCGGAAUCAUUGGGCGUAAAGAGCGUGUAGGCGGCUCGGUAAGUCCGCUGUGAAAGUCCAGGGCUCAACCCUGGAAUGCCGGUGGAAACUGUCGAGCUAGAGUCCGGAAGAGGCGAGUGGAAUUCCUGGUGUAGCGGUGAAAUGCGCAGAUAUCAGGAGGAACACCAAUGGCGAAGGCAGCUCGCUGGGACGGUACUGACGCUGAGACGCGAAAGCUGGGGGAGCAAACAGG